rnacentral:rRNA from 1 species
UACAGAGGUCCCAAGCGUUUGUUCGGAUUCACUGGGCGUAAAGGGUACGUAGGUGGCUGGGUAAGUCUGAUGUGAAAUCUCCGAGCUUAACUCGGAAACUGCAUCGGAUAGCUAUUCGGCUGGAGGGUUGGAGGGGGGACUGGAAUUCUCGGUUAGCAGUGAAUGACGUAGAUAUCGAGAGGAACACCAGUGGCGAAGGCGGUGCUCUGGGCCAGUAUUGACGCUGAGGAGCGAAAGCGUGGGUAGCAAACAGG